UAUAUUUGAUCAGGUUGAAGUCAGGAGAAACCCUGAUGGAAGACCGAAACAGUUCUGACNCUUGAUUGGGAAACAAUAUA
rnacentral:rRNA from 1 species